CGGCCUCGGACAAAAUUAAACAACAUCCUUGAGAUGUAAUGAUCAAUAUGUUUUUUUUACGGUUGCGAAGUUUAAGAAAAAAAACAAGAAAGACACUGUUCUGGGAGAUAAUGCUUAAUCUGUUCUAAAUUUUUUGCGGUUAUUCGGGAUUAACCCUAGUUGGCUUUUCAACCUAAAAAUCAUUUUUAUACGGUUGCGAAGUUUAAGAAAAAAACAAGAAA
rnacentral:lncRNA from 1 species